rnacentral:misc_RNA from 1 species
UCCCCGUUACCAGGGCGGUCUUGUUAGAAAAUUCAACUAACAACGAGGGUUGCGCUCGUUUAAGGACUUAACCUAACAUCUCACGACACGAGCUGACGACGACCAUGCAUCACCUGUCACUUGGUUCCCGAAGGCACUCCACUAUCUCUAGCGGAUUCCAAGGAUGUCAAGUCUGGGUAAGGUUCUUCGCGUCGCCUCGAAUUAAACCACACGCUCCACCGCUUGUGCGGGUCCCCGUCAAUUCCUUUGAGUUUUAGCCUUGCGGCCGUACUCCCCAGGCGGGAUACUUAACGCGUUAGCUUCGCUACUGACCGGGUCGAUACGGCCAACAGCUAGUAUCCAUCGUUUACGGCGUGGACUAC